GACGAACGCUGGCGGCGUGCUUAACACAUGCAAGUCGAACGAAGUGGCGAACGGGUGAGUAACGCGUAAUCAACCUGCCCUUCAGAGGGGGACAACAGUUGGAAACGACUGCUAAUACCGCAUACUGAAGGAGGGGAUUGCGUCUGAUUAGCUCGUUGGAGGGGUAACGGCCCAACAAGGCGGUGAUCAGUAGCCGGGCUGAGAGAAUGGACGGCCACAUGGGUAGUGAGACACGGCCCAGACUCCUACGGGAGGCAGCAGUGGGGAAUCUUCCGCAAUGGACGAGGGUCUGACGGAGCGAAGCCGCGUGAGUGAUGACGGCCUUCGGGUUGUAAAGCUCUGUUAAUCGGGACGCGGUACCGGAAUAGAAAGCCACGGCUAACUACGUGCCAGCAGCCGCGGUAAUUC
rnacentral:rRNA from 1 species